rnacentral:rRNA from 1 species
UUGGACUUUAUUUGCGCAGCAUAGGUGGGAGGCAUUGAGUUUAUUCUUGCGGGAAUUUAGGAGCCAUCAGUGAGAUACCACUCUGGUAAUGUUAGAUUUCUAACUUUGUAUCAUGAUCUGGUCAAAGAACAGUUUCAGGCGGGCAGUUUGACUAGGGCGGUCGCCUCCCAAAUGGUAACGGAGGCGUACAAAGGUUUCCUCUGAACGUGUAGAAAUCGUAUCUAGAGUGUAAAGGCAUAAGGAAGCUUGACUGUGAGACCUACAAGUCGAGCAGGGACGAAAGUCGGUCUUAGUGAUCUGACGGUGCUGAGUGGAAAGGCCGUCACUCAACGGAUAAAAGUUACUCUAGGGAUAACAGGCUAA